UACACUCUUGGUAGUGGGGAGCCAUGGGAUC
rnacentral:piRNA from 1 species